UACAGAGGGUGCUAGCGUUGUUCGGAAUCAUUGGGCGUAAAGGGCGUGUAGGCGGGUCUUUAAGUCAGGGGUGAAAUCCCGAGGCUCAACCUCGGAACUGCCUUUGAUACUGGGGAUCUCGAGUCCGGGAGAGGUGAGUGGAACUGCGAGUGUAGAGGUGAAAUUCGUAGAUAUUCGCAAGAACACCAGUGGCGAAGGCGGCUCACUGGCCCGGAACUGACGCUGAGGUGCGAAAGCGUGGGGAGCAAACAGG
rnacentral:rRNA from 1 species